UCCCCUUAAAUAUGGGAUAUAGACGAGUGUGGCUUUUUCUAAGCCUUAGCACGCUUGUAUUCCCUCUAUAAAAGGGUAAAUUGAGUCACGAUUUAGGUCUCCCCGUACCCAAUAUGCAUGCGUUCCCUAGGCUCAUGCAUUCUAAAUCCACUCUAUCAUUACACUUUCACUUUUCAUUCCAUUUGCACACAUACACCUUUUAUCCCUUCACUUGCACACGA
rnacentral:lncRNA from 1 species